GAUUAACGCUGGCGGCGUGCCUAACACAUGCAAGUCGAACGAAAGAACUAUUUGGAGAGAAACCAGUUCUCCCCUCAAAAGGGAACAGGCGUUUCCCCUCAUAGUUCUUUAGUGGCGGACGGGUGAGUAACACGUUGGUACCUGCCCUCUAGUGGGGAAUAACUGGCCGAAAGGUCGGCUAAUACCGCAUGUGAUCUUCGGAUCAAAGCAGCAAUGCGCUAGAGGAGGGGCCUGCGUCNGAUUAGCUUGUUGGUAGUGUAAUGGACUACCAAGGCGACGAUCAGUAGCUGGUUCGAGAGGAUGACCAGCCACACUGGGACUGAGAUACGGCCCAGACUCCUACGGGAGGCAGCAGUGAGGAAUCUUCCGCAAUGGACGAAAGUCUGAUGGAGCAACGCCGCGUGCAGGAUGA
rnacentral:rRNA from 1 species